rnacentral:rRNA from 1 species
CCUACGGGGGGCAGCAGUGGGGAAUAUUGCACAAUGGGGGAAACCCUGAUGCAGCAACGCCGCGUGGGUGAAGGAGCGUUUCGGCGCGUAAAGCCCUGUCAGCGGGGAAGAAGAAAGACGGUACCCGACCAAGAAGCCCCGGCUAACUACGUGCCAGCAGCCGCGGUAAUACGUAGGGGGCAAGCGUUAUCCGGAUUUACUGGGUGUAAAGGGAGCGUAGACGGCCGUGCAAGUCUGAUGUGAAAACCCGGGGCUCAACCCCGGGACUGCAUUGGAAACUGCAUGGCUGGAGUGUCGGAGAGGCA